ACGAACGCUGGCGGCGUGCUUCACACAUGCAAGUCGAACGGAAAGGCCCUGCUUUUGUGGGGUGCUCGAGUGGCGAACGGGUGAGUAACACGUGAGUAACCUGCCCUUGACUUUGGGAUAACUUCAGGAAACUGGGGCUAAUACCGGAUAGGAGCUCCUGCUGCAUGGUGGGGGUUGGAAAGUUUCGGCGGUUGGGGAUGGACUCGCGGCUUAUCAGCUUGUUGGUGGGGUAGUGGCUUACCAAGGCUUUGACGGGUAGCCGGCCUGAGAGGGUGACCGGCCACAUUAGGACUGAGAUACGGCCCAGACUCCUACGGGAGGCAGCAGUGGGGAAUAUUGCACAAUGGGCGGAAGCCUGAUGCAGCAACGCCGCGUGCGGGAUGACGGCCUUCGGGUUGUAAACCGCUUUCGCCUGUGACGAAGCGUGAGUGACGGUAAUGGGUAAAGAAGCACCGGCUAACUACGUG
rnacentral:rRNA from 1 species